AUUGAACGCUGGCGGCAGGCCUAACACAUGCAAGUCGAACGAGUGGCGGACGGGUGAGUAAUGUAUGGGAAACUGCCUGAUGGAGGGGGAUAACUACUGGAAACGGUAGCUACUACCGCAUAGCAGCAGAUGUGUCCAGGUGGGAUUAGCUAGUUGGUGGGGUAACGGCUCACCAAGGCGACGAUCCCUAGCUGGUCUGAGAGGAUGACCAGCCACACUGGAACUGAGACACGUUCCAGACUCCUACGUGAGGCAGCAGUGGGGAAUAUUGCACAAUGGGCGAAAGCCUGAUGCAGCCAUGCCGCGUGUGUGAAGAAGGCCUUCGGGUUGUAAAGUACUUUCAGCGGGGAGGCGUUACCAGCAGAAGAAGCACCGGCUAACUCCGUGCCAGCAGCCGCGGUAAUUC
rnacentral:rRNA from 1 species